UUUAAAACUUCAAAUUUUACAUUAAAAAAAUUAAUCUUUAUUCCAUACAAGCGCAGGAUCUAAUGAGGUAUUAGUUUUUGUCUUUGUGAAGAUUUUUUAAUCGACGUGGAAAAGCACUAGGUGUCAGUUGGAAAUGUGAAUGGUACACUGAGGUCAUUUCUGUGUUGCAAAGGUUAGGAGCCUUCCAGCUGAGCCUUGCUGAUUUGUUGGGUCAACUAGGAACUUGCUGGAGAGAAAAGUAAAAAAUACAAAAAUGAGCAAACUUCAUAAUGAACUAAUCUUGUGAAUGAGAAAAUAUCAACUGGCCGGGCACGGUGGCUCACGCCUGUAAUCCCGGCACUUUGGGAGGCUAAGGCUGAUGGAUCACUUGAGGUCAGGAGUUCAAGACCAGCCUGGGCAACAUGGUGAAACCUCGUCUCUACUAAAAAUACAAAAAUUAGCCAGGCGUGGUGGUACAUGCCUGUAAUCCCAGCUGUUUGGGUGGCUGAGGCAGAAUUGCUUGAACCCAGGAGGUGGAGGUUGCCGUGAGCUGAGAUUGCACCCCUGCACUCCAGACUGGGCGACAGAAAAAGUGGCCGGAUGAGGUGGCUCACGCCUGAAACUGCAGCACUUUGGGAGGCUGAGGCAACAGAAACAACCAGAAAAUGGAUGAGUAGAAGAGAAACGAUUCUAAUUAUAGGAACUUUUUAGGAGAGUCUCACUCUGUCACCCAGGCUGGAGUGCAAUGGCGUGACCUCAGCUCACUGCAACCUCCACCUCCCGGGUUCAAGCAAUUCUCCUGCCUCAGCCUCCCAAGUAGCUGGGACUACAGAAUGCCUGCCUGUGUGUGAGCUGCACCAUGGUGCUGAGCUAGGGCGAGAAGUGUGGCCACUGGCUGGAAACGGGAAGAGUGAGAUGCUGCCACCAGGCUUCCAUGUGGUGUGUGUCCCUGGGGUGCAGAACUGAGGUGAGAAGGCUGCUGUCCCCCACGCUGAUCCCGCCCUACCAGGUCUGGAUGGAGCCUGUGCAUUUGCCAUUGCAAUGUGCAAUUUUAUUAAAUGUUUAAAAAAAUAAAGAGACUGGGCCCAGGCUGGGGUGCAAUCACAGCUCACUGCAGCCUCGAUCUCCUGGGCCCGAGCAGUCUUCCCGCCUCGGUUUCUCAAAUAGCUGGAACCACAGUUAUGAGCCACCAUGCCCAGGUAAAUUUUUUAUUUUUUGUAGAGAUAUGAUCUUGCUCUGUUGCCCAGGCUGGUCUCAAACCCCUGGCCUCCGGCAAUCCUCCCAAAGCACUGAAUUACAGGCGUGAACCACUGGAUUACAGGCGUGAACAACCAUGGUGCCUGGCCUCCACAUAUAACCGGACUCCCCCAAAACUUAAUGCAACCCUCAGUUUUGUUUCUGAGUUUGGAAUUUGUUGUAUUUUAUGCACGUUUGCGCCUCAAAGUUUUCUCCCCAGUCUUUAUAGUCACCAAGGUUUCCCGACACCCGUGUGGCACAGGGAUGUGGCUGUUCGGGGGUUGCGGGGUGGAGGAGGCCGGCACAGCCCCACUCACCCGUGGAUGGUGCCCCACCCCCCACCUUCCCCACCCCUUUUCCUACCAGCGAUUCCCCCCCCCCUCCUAUCUGAGAGCCCCUCCCCGUCAGCCCUCCUCGCCCCUUCCCACACACCCCCAUCCCUCGACCCCCGCUCUCCCUUCCCUGGUGGAAAGCACCUCUCCUGGUUAAAUAAUGCCAAAUUAUUCCUGUAAAAUUCCCUUAUGUCUUGUAAUCCGUGCGUUGCCAGUUCCCUUGUCUUCUCCAAAUGCUGCUUGAAGCCACCAGCUUCACUGUCAGCACCGCUCACGAUAUUUAAUAGCAGCAGGUAAGAAAAGAAAUCUAUGGUAGAACAUUAGCUGGGGCGGGGAGAUCCCUGGCGCUGAAGAACUUUUCGCCAAAAGCUACUGCAGGCAGGAGCGGCCUCGAGGGGCGGACAGGGCCGCCAAAGGCUGCGGUGCGGUUCGGUACCUGCAGACCCGCUGCUCGGGGAGCGCGCCGCGGGUUCCCAGGCUGGUGGCCUCUCCCGGGCCUCGCCGCUGCCUCAAGAUCCGCUUUCACGCUCCUGCUUCCGCACCCACCCGACCUGUCGCUGGCAUUUGCAGCUCUAAGUCCUGAGGUGCAACGGAAGUGAGCACAAAAGCUGCCUGUGCGGACGCGGAGAACCAGCUGGUGCGCCUCCUCACCUUGGUCAGAGCGCCGGCCCUCUCGGGCGCAACGUCCCCGGGGGCACCGGCCUUUGUCCCCAGUGCUCCGCGCACUGGGCUGGGGAGCCCUCGGUGCCACCUAGAGCCUUUAAGCGGCGGGGCGGGAUGGGGGGGGUGUUUGCUGUCGCGCGCCCCAAGAGUCGCCCAUGAGGGAAACGCGCCCUGGCCGUGGCAGGAAGGCUUUUGUCCGCAGGACGUCGGCUGGAAGCCUGCAAAGCGCAAGGCUGCCCAACGCCUUUCCUGCGAGCAUGAAGGGAGGCCCCGUGUUCCCUGCAGAACUCCACAGCACACCCUGUCGUUUCAGCCACCCCCGCCUCCCUACUUGUCCCUCAAGGUUCCCUCUAGUCCUUGGGAGGCCUGAAGUCUGUCAUCUUUCCAUCUGCAGGCUGCUGUCCCCCACGCUGAUCCCGCCCUACCAGGUCUGGAUGGAGCCUGUGCAUUUGCCAUUGCAAUGUGCAAUUUUAUUAAAUGUUUAAAAAAAAUAGAGACAGGGUCUCGCUAUGUUUCUCAGGCUGGUCUUAAACUCCUGGACUCAAGGGUUCCUCCUGCUUCGGUCUCCGAAACUGCUGAGAUUACAGGGCUGAGCCUCUGGUCCCACCUGUAUUAAGUCCUCGUUUGUGAACUUAAAGGGUCCGGGCUUCACAGUAGAAGAUACCUCAUCCAGAGCUGCACAAAAAUCUAAGGUGUAAAGAUGGGCUGAUUUCAUGCAUUCGGUUAUUCAUUCCUCUCGUCGCGGACUGGCCUCCAGCACCAGGCGCUGUGCUCUAGAACCAUUAAAGAAGUGCGGGGGUGGGGAAAGUGUUUACGACUUUGCUUAAUCAUCUAAACCUGGUAGCUAAGGUAGGGGCCACUGUUCCUUUCUUUUUCUUUCUCUGUCCCUCCCUGUCUCCCCCACUCUCCUUCUUCUCCCUUUCUUUUUUCUUUUCCUUCUUUCCCUCCCCUCUUUUGCCCUUUUCUCACAUGAGGAAAGCUUUACAUGCACUCCUAGUGCUGCAUCUGCCUCGUGUUGGCCUUGAUCCGAAACCCUGUCCCAGCUGGCCCAGCUGCUCUAACAAAAUGCUACAGAACGGGAGACCUAAACAACGGAAAUUGACCCAGGUCUUUGGGGGAAAGGAGACCAGUGUGGGCAACACAGCAAGACCCUGUCUCUGUGCGCGUGUGCACGUGCGUGUGCACACACACACACACUUAGCCAGGCAUGGUGGCACGCACCUAUUGUCCCAGCUACUCAGGAUGCUGAGAGAGGAGUACAGCAUUCGCGCCAAAGGCUUGAGACAGCUAGCUACUCCCCCGGUCUUGGCUGCUGGACCUAUCUGCUCUCCCCACCGCUCUCGAGGGCUUUCGAGUUGAGGCAAGGGUCGCAGGCUGAGCCACUGAGGCAAAAACAAGAUACAGAGCAAGGGCCUGCGGUUUGCAUUGUGCUGACGGCUUUCAUAUCCCCUUUAAUCUCUGUGUAAGCAACGGACUUGCUGCAAUUGAGAUGCCUGAGAGGGGCAAGGACCCCUGCCCAUAUUUUCUCAGGAGCUGAGCCUUUGCUCUACCUCCUGAUGGAAAACAUAGUUAACAAGCCACCAUGAGGACACCAUUGUUUGAUUGCACUGUGUACUCUUAAAAAACAUUUAUUAACCUUUAAACUGCUUUGUAAGCUGUUACACAAGCCCCUUCAAACUGCUUUGUGAGCUGUUAUCUCAAGCCCCUUAUAACUAUUUUUCCGUGGUUUCUGUUCCCUUUUUUGUUUACCCCCUUUUCUGCUGAGCUAAAGUAAAUGUAACGAGAAAAAAGGUAUAAAAGCUGUAACCCACAAAAAUAAAGCUGCUGCCUGACUUAGGGUCACACA